rnacentral:rRNA from 1 species
ACUCCUACGGGAGGCAGCAGUGGGGAAUUUUGCGCAAUGGGCGAAAGCCUGACGCAGCAACGCCGCGUGAGUGAUGAAGGCCUUUGGGUCGUAAAGCUCUGACAGAGGGAAAGAAAUGCAGGGGAGCUAAUAUCUCCCUUGCUUGACGGUACCCUCAAAGGAAGCACCGGCUAACUCCGUGCCAGCAGCCGCGGUAAUACGGGGGGUGCAAGCGUUGUUCGGAUUUAUUGGGCGUAAAGCGCGUGUAGGCGGUUUUAUAAGUCUGAUGUGAAAGCCCUGGGCUCAACCCGGGAAGUGCAUUGGAUACUGUAAGACUUGAAUACGGGAGAGGGCAGUGGAAUUCCUAGUGUAGGAGUGAAAUCCGUAGAUAUUAGGAGGAACACCGGUGGCGAAGGCGGCUGCCUGGACCGAUAUUGACGCUGAGACGCGAAAGCGUGGGUAGCAAACAGGAUUAGAUACCCUGGUAGUCCACGCCGUAAACGAUGAGAACUAGGUGUCGCGGGUA